UUGCACCAAUGCUCAGGCCUGUAACCUCUUCUAUCCAGUUACGCAGGUCUUCUUCUAUCUGGGGAUCAUACUUCAAGGCGAUCUGUAACACAUGCAGUCACAAAAUUACUUCGCAAGAAAAAACUGCAACUCCUUCCCAAGACUCAGGUGGAAUAAGCAGCGAUCUCGUGUCUUAAUUGUAAAGUUACUGCAAAGCACUCUUAUGUUAUGGAGGAAACCUGCAACAGUCUUAGAAAUUCAAGGCAUCAAACGGAGGCCAAGAGUUGUUAGCAAGGUGACUUGAAAAACUCCUUUCCCACACACUCAGACCUCACCAUUCAGCAUGUCAGUUGGUGCUGCACACGCUGCAGUCAGUGGGAAGCAGCACGCUCCAACCAUGCCGGCAGGAGCCAAGCUCAGCUCUGCCCUUUGUUCCCUGCUCCACCCAGAGGAUGUUGAAAACAGCUCAAGUUUCCUUUGGUUUAAAUCUGUUACUUCUGCAGUGCUCCCAACAUGGGCAAUUUGGAGAAAAGGGUUUACAUCACUGGAAGCAACCUUAGUCCUACAUAACCUGCUCCUUUUUGUGCAAACAGAACAAAUCAUCCAAGCACAAGAUUUUAUGGCACAACUAACCUCUGCUGGUGCAGAGGUUGGCAACGCUUCUCUGUGUGCAUUACACGGCACAGCAAACAAAGCUGGGGAUGAGCGAGCUGCCCCACCAAGGCUGAGCAGCACCCGCAGUGCUCCUUGCUGACAGCCCCGCUGGCCACCGGUUAGUUCCUCAUGGGAAACUUGGCUAAAGCCAGUCACGUGCAGACCUGAAGUUUCAGACUUGAUGCAGACUUGGGCCCAGAAAAGCUAGGUAUCAGCAACCAUUUUGUACUGCAGGAGAUUGCAGUUCCAACCUAUGCGAAUUACUUGGAUUGAGGCAAUUACUACAUCUUGGCUAGCAUUACUAAUCCCCAACUCCAAACCAACCACACUAAAAAUCAUACAGUAUGCCAUUCUCUGCUUUCUUCUAAGGGAAUGGAAAAUUCCUAUAUCUCUGGCUUUACUUCAGAAAUUUAUGUGCGCAAUGCUUAUUUUCCUUUUCCUUGAACUGUUUGUAAUAGCACUGCUGCGGUGCCUAAGUUACAGAUCAGGAUAAUUCCCUUGUUGAUCACUGUGUAGAAGUCCGUGCAGCUUUCUGCACAAGCCCUGAGUACCUUGGUGCUUAGGCCAAUGGUGGUCUGACAUCCUCAAGCUCUCUCUUUUCUCAUAGAGGAGAAAAAUGGAAGAAAGCUCGGGUAAUAAAUACUGCCUAGUGGAAGGAAAGUGCAUAUUUGUUUUUUUUUAUGAAACCUUUCUGAAAUUAAAAGGUGAGAAAUGGACUAGAAAAGUUAACAGUUCACAGCUCCACAGGGAAAGCCACCACACCUUUGUGUCUGUUUUUUUUCAAGAAGAUAGUCCUCUUGUGCUUUCCUAAAGUUUAGUGCCAGAAGCAGUGCUACCAUGUUUUUAGUGAUUGUAGCAAUAGCACGGAGUGGGUAGCCCCUUUUGCAAGGGGCCCCAGCCAGAAAGAUUCAUUGCCUUGAAAAUGGUGAUGAGGAAGCUGGUUAUUGUCCUUCUCCUUCCUAACCUGGCAAUCAGCUCACAAACUAUUUUCAUGGUUCGUUUUGUUUCCUAUGGAAACACAGCAUGUGUGAUCACACCCUGAAUCUGUCUUCCUGGUAACAUCUGAACAAGCUACUCAAGUUCUGCCAAACUCACUGAAGAGCUGCAGUCGUGGACGUAACUGAAGUUUUGUUUCUUUGUCUGUUUUUUUGAAGUAUUUGGAGUAUAGGAGAGAAAGAUCCCCUAAGUAUAAAACACAGCAUCAUAUCGUUAUUCCACAUCGACGAAUCUACAGAGACCUUAUUAAAGUGCCCAGAUGCAGGCAAGAUACUGAAAUGCCAAGUUUAGAAAAAGAAAGGACUCAUACAAAGAUAAGAGCAUAGCAUGCUCUGAUAUUCUAGUUAGCAGAGAGCAGGCAAUUGGGGCUGGCUGUGUGGGUGGAGAUGGUUUGUGCCACAUUAAGACAGCAGUUCUAACACGCACAUGGUUCAGAGGGGGGCCAGAGCCAGUCUCUUCCGCUGUCCUUUAGUUGUGGUUAGAAACAUAAUGAAUGUUCUGUUAGCUGAAAAUUCAGGCUAUUUCUGUUUCGUUUUAGCUUAAAGACAAUGCUAAGUGAUAGUUCAGCCAUCCUGCAGCUGGAAUUGUCUUUGUUUCCUCUUUAUAAGUAAAGAAAUAAUCAGUGCAUAAAGCUGAUGUUGCAGAAAAGUAAAUCAGUGGUGAUGCCACCAAGGGACACACUUUAAAGAUCACUUGUCCCCUCCCUCCCCCAGUUUACAAUAAAUAAAAAUGGAAGUCAACCAGAGUGAGUUCCACCCAGCAUAUUGGAAUGAAGGAAAAAAAUGGCAAAAAUUUUCCUUAUUUAAUAUCAAGUACAUUCCAUAUUUGAGAUUACAAAUGAGAUGAAUACUAAAUGACUACCCCCACUGCUUGAGCUACUUGGAAGGAGUUGGAUGGAAUUUCAUCCUGUCUCUUGAAAGAUAUUUACUUUGUUGGAGUACUUUACAUGCAUUUAAAUCCUCGGUUUUUAAAGAGGUUUAAAAGUAUCUUGGGGGUAUCACUACUGCGCUUAUCUAGAGAUAGGGGGAAAAAAAUUAAAUCACAUGAGGAAACUUGCAUUUUUGGCACCAAAAACAUUACUGUUAAGUCUGCACAUUUUCUGAACUGUCUUCAGUAUGAUGCAGUUUGACCUAAACAUGACAAAGGGUUUUAUGUCUUUAACAGGUGGGCAACUAGGUUACUAAAUAUCAAGUGGUGAUUGGUUCUUUGUGAAUUAUAUUUAAUCUAUCUGAAAAGAUACAGACACAGAAACAUUAGAAUCCAGGCUAAGCAUGUGACAAGAGGGCUUAAGUUAAGCUGGGCAGGCAUUAGGUCAGUGCUACCGGAGGGAGGUGUUCUGCUUGCUUUGGGCUCUUAGCUCUUUUUCACUCCUGGUGACACAGUUAGAAGUUACGUAACACCAAACUAGGGAAUACUUCAUAUUUUCCAUGUAUCUAUGAGUUGCUCCAGUAUUUCUUUGAUUGCUAUCUGUGAGGGGAAAGUUGGAAGCAUUGUUAUAAAUUAAAUAUUAUGGCUUUUUCCAUUACUACUAUUCAGCAUGCCAUCAUUUGACCCUUUUUAAUGCCGAACUUUCAUUGCAGAUACUUAAAUCUUGUAUGUCCGCAAAAGAAAAUACUUUCUAGUAAAAUGAAAGUGGUAGCUAAGCAGCUCAUUUCAAAGUAUUCAUCAUCAGUGCCACUGAAAAAAGCUGCUGUUUUAGAACCCUGUAAAAAAGAUCAAAUUGUAGCAAUGGAUAUAAACAUUUAAAAUCUGGUUUAAAACCAGAUAGCAUGAUGCCAAUUGUAAAUUUCUUUAUUUUGUUCUGAUAAAUCUUGAAGGAUGCACAAAGCUAUAAAUGCUGCUGCUUUUGUAGACACUUCUGAGGUACGGAUUUAGUUGUUAGAGAUCUCUCUGAAACUAAGUCUAUACCACUGGUCAAAGCUGGAAGUGCUCCAUGGUUGUGGAAAAAAGCAAGCAGGUGUCACUUGCCUGUUACAAGCUCCUGACUGCUAGUCCAGUUCAUAACAUGAAGAGUUGGCUUCAGUUUCAGUACAGAAAAAAGCUAUGUAAAAUUUGGCAAUUAACUGAAAGACAAGGUUUUUUUCAUUAAUUUUAAUUAGAAAUGUGAUAGCUUCACAACAGGUAGCCUUCAGCAGACUAAUAUUAUAUAUUACCUUGCUACUGUAAGUCACAAGAAGAGGCUGCAGAAAAAGUAGGCUCGUACUGUCUUUUUGGACUGUCUUCAUUUAAAUGUACAAAGUAAAUAAAAAGUUACCCACUCA